AAGCAUGGUGUGGACACUUCCUUAAUAAUUCUUUAAAUCUCUCCCAAGCUUCAUAUUUAGACUUGCUAUCAAAUUGGGUAAAUGAAAUAAUUUCAUUCCAAAGUUU